rnacentral:lncRNA from 1 species
GGGGUUAUUUCGUAAUUUAACCUCAGUAACCACUCUUUUGGCUACUUGUAUCUCUCUCUUUUUCAUGUUGUUGUUCACCAGUCACCGCCAUGCCUCCUCUCAUCAUUUCCAGUCCACUCCCCCUUUGAUUUCUCCUCGCUCCCUAUUCUCGGCCGCCACCAUCGUCGACGGUGGGUCUUCAACUCCCCCUCUUCAAUCUCUCUGUCAACUCCAUAUGUCCUUCUCUCCUGACCUCACCCUCGGCCACCGCAGUCGCGAUGGUCCGACUCGAUGCCGCCUUCUCAUACCUAAUUUUAUACUAUCAUUCUAUUCCCCAGUGUUUAAGCAACUUAUUAAUGCUUUCAAUUUGAUUGUUACUCCACCAGGCACAAAAAUCCUAAAUAGGCGUGAACCCUAAUUACAAAUUUAGAAACCCCAAAUAUGUGUAUGUAUAUCUGUGUGGCUGUGGAUUAAUGUAUAAGGCUGACGGGUGUUGGCGGGGUGUCACAUCGGAGAGGGCAGCGAGCUCAGCGUUGUCUGUGGUUGUUUAGAUGGGGAAAUAAGAGAGAUUGGGGGAGGAGAUGGAUCAGUGGUGGUGGGUGGUGGGAGAUGACUUUUGUUGAACUGUUUUGUUUAUGUACUCAACUGAUGGAUAAGUAUUUUAGAAUUUGUGUCCUGUUGCAGUUCCCAAUCUACAAAUUGAGACGGUGAAACCAGCAGGCUCUGCGGUUUUGGAUUACAGUCAAGGUGAUUACAACACUUAGUAGCAAAAGGGAACAUGGUAAUGGCGGUCGUCUUAGAUUGCAACAAUUCUCAAAAGCGGAUGGUUUAAGUUUGAGUUCAGUUCAUCCGAUGAGAGCAUUAGAUGAUGAUACUGGUUAUGAUAGUAAUGCAAGUUCAUCUAGCUUUGAAUUUUAAGGGGAAAGAGCAGUGAACAAUCCUAUUGAGAGGUCACACUUGAUGCCAAAAUUUUCUAAAUGGAAGAUGUAGAGAAGUGGAUAAUGAAUAAGCAAGCUAAUCAUUCAAAAAGUAGCAAUGUACAAAGGUAAGCGAUGAGAAUGCAAGUUAAAAAUUGUGUUAAAUUUGCUUCAGAGUCUACCAUUUUGACCGACCAUGGUGUUAAACCCAGCUAGAAAUAGGUGCUUCAACUGACUGUAGCUAGUGGAACUAGGAAUUGACGAAAAAACCCUUAAAAAAGAUAACGGUGUUAGUCUAAAUUGACGGAGAGACACAUUCUGUAAAAAAUUCGAAACUUGAGUAUUGCAAGUAAUACUUAUUAAAAAGUGAUAUUGCAAGUGGUGUCUUGCUUAAAGUGCAGGUACACAGAAUGCACUUUACUCUUAUUAAUUUAUAAUUUUCUUGGGACCGAAAAUUAUAAAGGGAUCUCCCAAAAAAUUAUUAUCUUAUUAUUUUAUCGAGUUUUUUAAUUUUUUACACUGGCCCAAGUCGGGACUGGAAAAAUUUAUUAUUUUAGAGAGUUUAUUAAUUUACCGAGUAUUAAUUUAAAGAGUUUCUACUGUAUGUAAUAGAUGCACCAAAAAUUGUGUAGUCUUUGAACGUGUUGGGAUCAUGAGGGUAUAGAGUUGUCAGUUGAGGACGAAGUUACAAGAUGUAUAAAGGAAAAAGCUGUAAGAGAUGAUGAACAAGAAGGACAUAUAUUGUUUACAUGUUAGAGAAAUGAAGAUGAAGACCAAGAAAAAGGUAAAAGUUAAGGAUUUAUUUAAGUUCUAAGGAAUUCGGGGUACGUCUCAAAAUCCUCAAUAGGUUAGGAUUCAUAAUCUGAGACGGUAUCUUAUUUAUGAUGACUGAGGUAACCUAUUUUGAUAGAACUAUUUAAAUGUGGAAGGUUUUUAUAUAGGAAAUCGGAAAAGAUGAUAAAUAUCAAUUAUCUGAUGCUACGAGUUAUAUUUAUUAUAUAAUGAUAAAGAUUGAAAUCAUUUCUUGUUAUAUUACCAUGUUGUAUACGUCUAAAAAAUAUAAACACAAUAAUUGUUGAAACCAUUUGUUUUUGUAUUACCAUGAUGUACAUGGCUAAAAAAAUUGCAACAUGUGCUAGGUUUAAUUAAUUAGAAAAUAAUAUGAUUAAUGGCUAAAAAAUUGCAACAAGCAAACAUUCUAGAUUUAAUUAAUUAGAAAAGAGCUCUUUCCAGAAUACAAUUUUCUUUACUAAAUAAAAUUAGUGGCUUUCGACCCAAUAUGUGUUGAAUUUGUAGUUUGGUUAUUGACGCUUGGUUUGAUCAUCUCUCAUAAUUGCUGUCGCAUUUUUAAGAUAAAAUGAUAACAGCGGUUAGAUUUUGUUAAAUAAUAUUUCAUAUCUAAUAUUACCAUACCUAUUAAUGUUUUCAAGUUUCAAUCCAAUGGAUAGCAUUAUUAAAAUCAAACAUUUACAUAUAAUUUUAAAAAAUAAAAACAAUUCUAUAUCAUCUAGAUAUUAUAAAUCCCAUAGUAUUUUACUUAAUUAAUUUGCAUAACUAAUGGACAAAAUGUUGGGUAAGGUACGCAAUACAAAUGACUGAGACUAAUGAUUUGAGGACUAAAGAUCGAGGACUAGUCUUUGAGGCACUCUCCCAAGUUAACUGUUAUAACCAUCCUCCCGUUUACUCCUGUUCUUGCUGCUGCUUUCCCAGCUUCCAUCACUGCCAACACUUUUCAUCGCUACCUUUUUGAUGGACUGACCAAGAGACUGAGAGAGGGAGCAGCUGGGAAGGGAAUUAAUCAGGAGUUCAUGACUAAAGCCUACCAAUAAAAGUUAUGCAAAAAGUUUUUGUAAGAGUUCGGAUGACUUAGUUUCUACUAGUAUGAUGGACAUAUUGGGGAUAGAGUUGAUGGAUGUACAGGGUUUCCUUGCUACUUUGGCUUUGAUGUGAGGAACGAGGGUUGGGGAACUCUUUUGGAGUUUACAAUUGCUCAUGAAUUAUGGAUUGUUAACUCUAGUUUCAAAAAGAGAGACGAACAUUUGAUUGCUUUCCCAAGUGGAGCGGUGGGGAUAACACCAAAAUACAGAGAGUUCUCAUGAGACAUCAAAUAAAGGGAUUCAAGAUGUGAUGUUGAAAGAGUAGUUGUAGAAGUGAAGGAUAAGGUUUAUGAAUACAAGGGUUUGGAUAAUAAAGAGGGGGAAAUGAAAUUUAUAAAUUUGCAAAGACUUGAGAAAGAAGGUGGUGAGUUUCAGGUUUUAUAGAUUUAUAAUGGAUGAAGAUGGACUGGUCGUAGUUAGGGAUGAUGAUAUUCGAUAUAGAAAAUAUAACUGUAUUUUGUAAGUUAUUUAAUGAGGCGUGUAUUUAUAUUAGAGAUCCACUAUACAAUAAGAAGUUCAU